UACGGGGGGGGCAAGCGUUGUUCGGAAUUACUGGGCGUAAAGGGCUCGUAGGCGGCCAACUAAGUCAGACGUGAAAUCCCUCGGCUUAACCGGGGAAUUGCGUCUGAUACUGGAUGGCUUGAGUUUGGGAGAGGGAUGCGGAAUUCCAGGUGUAGCGGUGAAAUGCGUAGAUAUCUGGAGGAACACCGGUGGCGAAGGCGGCAUCCUGGACCAAUUCUGACGCUGAGGAGCGAAAGCCAGGGGAGCAAACGGG
rnacentral:rRNA from 1 species